AUAAUGCUUGGUCUAUAAAAAGGAGGAGCCAAGGAGAUCAGAAACCAGACCAGCCUCAGCUCUUCUAAAACUCCAGGUAGACAGUGUCCGACAUGAGCUGCUACCAGGAAAGGUUUUCCUCGGAGGAUGACUACUGCACCUACGCGUCGAAAAUGGAGAAGAAGACAGACAUGACUAAAGGGCCUCACUUCCCUCAGCUUCACACUGUGAUCAAGCACAAGGAGGUCCAUAUGGAAGAGGACGAGUCACGCCCUGGAAUCUUUGGCCGGCCGAGGCACGAGGAGUGGUCUGAAGAGGAGACCUAUGAAAUGUCUGAGACCACCUACGCAGGCGACAUGGGCAUGAAAGGGGGAGAGCGCAUCAGGCGCAAGGUGUAUAUAUGAGACUAUCAUCUAUAUAUAGUUCUGUGGUGAUGGAUGCCAUGGCUUGGCAUCUUUAUAUAUAGAAUAAAUCUCGGGCUUAUCUGCUGUAUAUCCAUAUGAAUAAUACUAUACUUCUCUAGUACUCAAGCUAUAGCUCUAUACUUUAGCCUACUACAUUCACUCUUGAUAUCUUUAGUACGCGCGUGUUUUCAGGUAAAUUUUUUGAGAAUACUACCCAACUCUUUCCCCCUUCAUUUUGAUAAUAUAAUCGGGAAAGAAGUAGGCUAGUCUCCGCUUUGAAUCCUAAAUAUAUUGGUGCAAGAUCGACCGAUGGCAUUCUAAAAUGUUGAUCCAAGCCACUGAUAAUGAUAUAUAUAACAUGUAAGACAUCCGCAAGAAUCAAGUAUUUUGUAAGUUAUCUAUCUAUUAUGCAUCAAGGGGAUGCAAAUGGACGGCAUGAGUAGUGCUAAUGUGUUAAAAUGCAUGAUAGGGUGUGAGAAAAAUUUUGAAUCCAGUCCAUCGAUUAUGAUCGCUCCAUAGAAAGCAUAUGUCAAAUAAAGUUCAAUAUGUUUGAGCACUUCUAAGUCAUAUGUAAACAUGAACUAGAUCGAACAACAUGUAUGAUGAAACCUUUUUGUUUUUGAAGAUUGUUUAUAAAAGGUUUUUGAGCUUUUGGAAGCAAAGUUUAUAGCUUUCAUAAAAAGAGUGAAAAUAAAAUCAAGGAAUAGUAAAAGUUUUGUGCAGAUGCUACCUCGGACAUCAAUCUGCAUGUAGGAAUAGCCAAAUAGGACCUGCAACUCUGUUUCCUAGGGGAAAAAAAAAAAAGCUGAGAUUUUAGGGACGGUUGCAAAAUGUUGCAGUUCCCGUUUUCUUCAGAUUUUCUAAAGCUGGAACUUUCUCGGUUUUGUUACUUCAAGUUCCUUUCUGAGAACUCAGAAAUUCUAACAUAUUUCUGUAGCAAUUUCCGAAGCUGUUUUAAUGAAGCUGUAACUACUACCUAUCAUUAUGGUUUUUAACUUACAGGCUUGAAGCAUAACGCGCUCCCAGUUGCACCCCUAUUUUAAGUGUCUUUGGAGCAUUUUUCAAGACAAAACGAGAACAUAGGAUAAUUUUUGGCCCAGAUCUUGCCACAUAUCGCCGCAAGUGUUGGCUGAUUCUCCUUCUUGAUUAAAGCAGACAAUGCCAGUGAUCAAACACAACAUAAGUUCACGUAUAUAAGCAAUUCACUAAGAUCUACACCAAAGAGGUGCAGUGGCAAAGAAGCAACCAACUCAGAGAACCUUUGGAAGAAGGCUUAGCCCAAAGAAGGCACAAACUUUGCCCUCCCCUGAGGCCAUCCUUUCAGAUCCCUCGGUUCCCACCACCUUCUCUCUCCCUCUCUCCUGCGGACGUGCCGGUGCUGCAGCGCAGAGAGAGACCCUGCAUCAAUGCCAUGCGGAUUCGUGCAAAGCAAACUAACGUUCCCCAUGCCAAAAGCGGAUUACUCUACUGCCUCUAUAUAUAGAUCUCUUGCUUUCUUCUCAGCUCGCCACUCUUUCUUCCACCGAUUCUUCCAGAAUUAAUAUUAGAGCCAUGGCUGUCUUCCGUCGAGCCUAUUUGUUUCGAGAUAUCUUCCGUUGAUGAGUGACUUGCUCGUCUUUCAUGGUCACUUGACGACGUUGGUGCCCUGAAGUCGCGCCAAUGGCAACCUCGCGUUGACGUGGGGGGAAUUAAGCUCGUUUCUAUGGGUGCUCUUCUUGCUUUAUUUUCCGCUUUCUGCUCUCUAACGUAUGGGAAUUGAUUUGUGUGAGGUUGGAAGGGGAUCCAAGUGUAUGGUGAUAUAAUAGCAGCCUUAAAUAUCAGCUUUUUGCUAUUCUAAUAUUGGGUUCGGGUUGUAUCUUCCGUGGGAAAGAAUGAUUCAUCUUUUUUUUCCACGAGGUCAACCAUUGGAUUGUGCAACGGCCACUUUAAGAUCUGUGCAGGUGGAUGAAAAAAAAAAGAGUUUGGUGUGCUUUGGAUCAUUCUUUCACGUGAAAGAUACAACCUAGAUCCUUUGAUAUAUGCACAUUUCCGAAGUGGUCAAAGUGUUUACCAUAAAGAAGAUUGGAGUCUUGAGUGCUCAAAAGAUGUUCGUAGCUAUAAGUGAGGUUGCAUAUUGCACCUAUAAGACUUAUUGAAUGUAUAGUGAUUGUAUGGAGUUCCUCCUCCACCAAGAUGGUCAUGACCUCGCAUUAAGAAUUGGCUGUGUUGUUAUAUUGAAUAAUCAAUAUUAACAAUCCACUUUAAAAAUCAUUGUCAAGGAUAGAGAUGCGAACUUGGUUGAAAUAGCUUAUAAGUGGUCCCUUAACUUGAAAUAAUAGAAUACCUUACUACAAUUUUGUGACAAAAUCCAUGUAUUAAUAAUGAUACCCUUGAUAAGAGGCAUAGUGGUUUAUUGGAUUCAGAUACAAAUAAGGGUCUAGUUGUCCAACAUGAAAUCAACCAUAUGUUACAAUGUUAAUAUUAAAACAUAGAGAUGGUCAGACAUAUGAGACCCACAACCCAGCUAAUUACUUAAAGUUUUAAAAAUAAUUAUUUUGGAAAAAAAUAUUAUUAAGAACAAUGGUAAAUUAUUUUCAAAAGGUUUCAUGUGCAUUGAAAUCCAAUCCAAUCCACCACCAUAAGCUCUCUCACGCGCGCAUAUAUAUAUAUAUAUAUAUAUAUAUAUUCGUUAUAUAUAUAUAUAUAUAUAUAUAUAUAUUCGAAUUUGCCCCUCUUGGUUUCAAGUUAGCAUGUUUUAUAGAAUGGCAAUUUUAGAUGAAGUUUGGUCUAGGACCUCUAGGUAUAGAUGUGUAGGAAUAGAUUUGCACAAUUUGAUGAGUCGGUGAAUAUUUUGGUGUAAUUUGACAUAUUCAAUAUUCUAUUUUGCAUGGUUGCAAUUUUCUGUUUUCAAUUUUCCUUAAAAACUAAAGAAAUUGCCACGGGAAUGGUGUUUGAUAAUCUAUUUUCUUUUUUAGUUUUUUUGAAAACUUUUUCUUAGUUUCUAAAAAUUUAUGCAAGUUUAAAAUUUUGUUUCCAAAAUUUCUAAAAAUCAAACCACUCAUGAUCCUCCACCAUCAUCUUUGUUGCUAUUGCCUCUGUCACCACCUAUCAACCACUAUCCUCUCGCCAACCACAAUCAUCUCCACUAUCACUGCAAUCAGCAUUGCUAACAUUGCUGCCAAAUGCAUUCCAUGCAACCAUUAGAUGUUAGGUUUUUGAUUGAAGGAGGCUUGUUUGAGGAAUCUCUUUUAGAGAUGUAACGUGAAAGAUAAAUGGAGAAUCGACCUUGCGACCUAGAGAGGGGAAUUUCAAAAAAUUCGAUGAAAAGAGAGAAAAAGAAGGGAAUAUAUAUUUGUGGUGUGGUUAACUAAGCUGAUUGAUAUUGAUGGUAUUCGAAUUUGAUAAGACAAGGAUUAGAAUUCUUUCAUAUGAAGUAUGCGAAUGAAGAACUGGUGGUCUAGAUCAUUGAGGAAUGAGAAUAAGAAAGCGAGCAAUGAAGAUAGGAGGUGGGUCCUAAAAUUUAAAGGGGCAAGGAGGCUGCACUGGAACUAUUUGGAAAUCCCAAGAACAUUUAAUUUCUCAGGAUGGCCAUGGCCCUUGCCCCCUCCCCUGCCGGUUCCAGCAUUCACAAACUGAUGCAUUCUUUUAGUCUUCUAAAUCUACUUCAUAUAGUUUCUAGGAGCUUGGGUUGUCUCUAUGGUUCAUAAACCUUACAAGAAUGUUUACCUUCUGAUGUCAGCAUAUGAUAUAUAACGAUGACAAGUGCCUCUACCUGUGGGUCGAUGAAGAAUGGUAUGAUCAAUUCAGGUUUCCAAGCACAGAAGAACGGUACAAAGAUAGCAGCAGCAAGACAUUCAAACAUUGUUGAUCUCAGAAAACCAUGUUGCCCAUGCUGUAACGCAGCACUGGUUUGUAAGCUAGGAAAUGAUCAAGGAAUAGGAUGGACUCCAAUGGACACAGGCCUAUGUGAACUUGGAGAGGAGCACUGUACUAGUAAAGUGAAUGCAACUCAGCUAUGGUGCUCAUAUUCUGCCCCUAUGUAAAUUUCAAACUUCUCUCUUUUUCUUCUUGGGAAAUAUCGAACCUAUUCAACCAUCUGAUGGUGAUUACAAACAUUUUAAACUAACUUUUUCCAGAGCAAUUCCAAACGGUGGAGAAAUUGUUUGCAUAUGAUGAGGUAUGGGAUCACAAAGUAAUAUAAUUAUUGUCGAGUAUAUCUUUGAGUUUACGGGCUCUAGAAAGGCAAAAAAAAUCUUUUCCCCCAUGAGAGAAGCAAGUGGUGCAGAGUGCAAAGAGCGAAGCAAGCAUUAGCAUCCUUGUUUUAUUUGGGCCGCACAGGAUGAGAUAAAUUUAUUUAUAUAUUGUUCUAGAAACCGACAUUAGCAUCAGUGGGUGCUUCCAAUACCACCCAAAGCUACUGCAUCAAGGUUCAAAUUCAUGCAAUAACACUAGCCGCCUGACGCAGACAGAAGUUAGAGGAUUAGAUGCGCUUCUUAUCUUUUUUCUUUUUUUUUGGUACAGAUGCACUUCUUAUCUUCAAGGAAUAAAUAUCAUAAGGCUUGGUCUAUAAAAAGGAGGAGCCAAGGAGCUCAGAAACCAGACCAGCCUCAGCUCUUCUAAAACUCCAGGUAGACAGUGUCCAACAUGAGCUGCACCUACGAGUCGAAAAUGGAGAAGACAAGCAUGACUGAAGGGCCUCACUCCCCUCAGCUUCACACUGUGAUCAAGCACAAGGAGGUCCAUGAGGAAGAGGAGAAGCCACGCCACGGAAUCUUCGGCCGGCCAAGGAACAAGGAGUGGUCUGAAGAGGAGACCUAUGAAAUCUCUGAGACAACCUACGCAGGCGACAUGGGCAUGCAAGGAGGAGAGUGCAUCAGGCGCAAGGAGUAUAUAUGAGACCAUACAUCAAGGCAGCUUGAGAGCAUCAUCUAUCUAUAGUUCUGUGAUGAUGGAUGCCAUGGCUUGGCAUCUUUAUAUAUAGAAUAAAUCUCUGGCUUAUCUACUGUAUAUCCAUAUGAAUAAUACUAUACUUCUCUAGUACUCAAGGUAUAGCUCUAUACUUUAGCCUACUACAUUCACUCUUGAUAUCUUUAGUACGCGCGUGUUUUCAG
rnacentral:lncRNA from 1 species